UUAUUUAGUGACUGAAAAGCAAGUAAUGGUCUCUUAAACCAAAAAAUGGUAAAAAGCAAAUACCCUAAAUG
rnacentral:tRNA from 1 species